rnacentral:rRNA from 1 species
UAACGGCGAGUGAAGCGGCAACAGCUCAAAUUUGAAAUCUGGCUCUUUUAGAGUCCGAGUUGUAAUUUGCAGAGGGCGCUUUGGCUUUGGCAGCGGUCCAAGUUCCUUGGAACAGGACGUCACAGAGGGUGAGAAUCCCGUACGUGGUCGCUGGCUAUUGCCGUGUAAAGCCCCUUCGACGAGUCGAGUUGUUUGGGAAUGCAGCUCUAAAUGGGAGGUACAUUUCUUCUAAAGCUAAAUAUUGGCCAGAGACCGAUAGCGCACAAGUAGAGUGAUCGAAAGAUGAAAAGCACUUUGGAAAGAGAGUCAAACAGCACGUGAAAUUGUUGAAAGGGAAGCGCUUGCAGCCAGACUUGCUUACAGUUGCUCAUCCGGGUUUUUACCCGGUGCACUCUUCUGUAGGCAGGCCAGCAUCAGUUUGGGCGGUAGGAUAAAGGUCUCUGUCACGUACCUCCUUUCGGGGAGGCCUUAUAGGGGAGACGACAUACUACCAGCCUGGACUGAGGUCCGCGCAUCUGCUAGGAUGCUGGCGUAAUGGCUGUAAGCGGCCCGUCUUGAAACACGGACCAAGGAGUCUAACAUCUAUGCGAGUGUUUGGGUGUCAAGCCCGAGCGCGUAAUGAAAGUGAACGGAGGUGGGAACCCGCAAGGGUGCACCAUCGACCGAUCCUGAUGUCUUCGGAAGGAUUUGAGUAAGAGCAUGGCUGUUGGGACCCGAAAGAUGGUGAACUAUGCUUGAAUAGGGUGAAGCCAGAGGAAACUCUGGUGGAGGCUCGCAGCGGGUUCUGACGUGCAAAUCGAUCGUCAAAUUUGGG